rnacentral:rRNA from 1 species
UACGGAGGGUGCAAGCGUUAUCCGGAUUCACUGGGUUUAAAGGGUGUGUAGGCGGGCGUUUAAGUCAGUGGUGAAAUCUCUGAGCUCAACUCAGAAACUGCCAUUGAUACUAUUCGUCUUGAAUUCUGUUGAGGUGGGCGGAAUACAUCAUGUAGCGGUGAAAUGCUUAGAUAUGAUGUAGAACACCGAUUGCGAAGGCAGCUCACUAAGCAGCGAUUGACGCUGAGGCACGAAAGCGUGGGGAUCAAACAGG